rnacentral:rRNA from 1 species
UACGUAGGGCGCAAGCGUUAUCCGGAAUUAUUGGGCGUAAAGAGCUCGUAGGCGGUUUGUCGCGUCUGCCGUGAAAGUCCGGGGCUCAACUCCGGAUCUGCGGUGGGUACGGGCAGACCAGAGUGAUGUAGGGGGAGACUGGAAUUCCUGGUGUAGCGGUGAAAUGCGCAGAUAUCAGGAGGAACACCGAUGGCGAAGGCAGGUCUCUGGGCAUUAACUGACGCUGAGGAGCGAAAGCAUGGGGAGCGAACAGG